rnacentral:rRNA from 1 species
ACGCUAGCGGGAGGCUAACACAUGCAAGUCGAGGGGUACAUGGUUUUCGGACUGAUGACGACCGGCGCACGGGUGCGUAACGCGUAUGCAACCUUCCUUAUGCAGGAGGAUAGCCCAUGGAAACGUGGAUUAAUACUCCAUACUAUUAGUAUUAUGCAUGUAAUAUUAAUAAAAACUACGGUGGCAUAAGAUGGGCAUGCGUCUGAUUAGUUAGUUGGUGAGGUAACGGCUCACCAAGGCGAGAUCAGUAGGGGUCUGAGAGGAUAUCCCCCACACUGGUACUGAGACACGGACCAGACUCCUACGGGAGGCAGCAGUGAGGAAUAUUGGUCAAUGGGUGAGAGCCUGAACCAGCCAUCCCGCGUGCAGGAUGACGGCCCUAUGGGUUGUAAACUGCUUUUCUACGCCAAGAAAGGUCCCUACGUGUAGGGAAUUGACGGUAGCGUAGGAAUAAGCAUCGGCUAACUCCGUGCCAGCAGCCGCGGUAAUACGGAGGAUGCAAGCGUUAUCCGGAUUUAUUGGGUUUAAAGGGUGCGCAGGCGGGUUUUUAAGUCAGUGGUGAAAUACUGCCGCUUAACGGUAGAAUUGCCAUUGAAACUAGGAAUCUUGAGUGUGGUUGAGGUAGGCGGAAUGUGUAGUGUAGCGGUGAAAUGCAUAGAUAUUACACAGAACACCGAUUGCGGAGGCAGCUUACUAAGCCAUAACUGACGCUGAGGCACGAAAGCGUGGGGAGCGAACAGGAUUAGAUACCCUGGUAGUCCACGCUGUAAACGAUGUUCACUCGCUGUNUGCGAUACACAGUAAGCGGCUGAGCGAAAGCAUUAAGUGAACCACCUGGGGAGUACGAUCGCAAGGUUGAAACUCAAAGGAAUUGACGGGGGCCCGCACAAGCGGAGGAACAUGUGGUUUAAUUCGAUGAUACGCGAGGAACCUUACCUGGGCUUAAAUGUAGACUGCAUAGGAUGGAAACAUUCUUUCCCUUCGGGGCUGUUUACAAGGUGCUGCAUGGUUGUCGUCAGCUCGUGCCGUGAGGUGUCGGGUUAAGUCCCAUAACGAGCGCAACCCUUACCGUUAGUUGCCAACAGGUCAAGCUGGGGACUCUAGCGGGACUGCCACCGUAAGGUGAGAGGAAGGUGGGGAUGACGUCA